UUGAAAUGAAGGAAAGCUUAUUUAUUGAUAUCCCCGAUAAGUUACAAAUAUGUACAUAUACUUGAGUCAAAAUAAACAAACAAGAGGAAGCCUUCACAAAGGUUGCUUAGGAGAAGUCUCAGCAGUCGGUAGAGCCCCAGAAAGAGAAGGCACCGGAGGGGGAUCAUUCGGAGCCUCAGUACUGGACAAAACCCUAGAAGGAGGAGGCAUCAGAGGUUGAUCAUUUGGAGAUUCAUUACGCGGUACAGCCCCAGAAGACGAAGGCAAUAAAUGCCUUUGGAACAAACCCACAAAAUCUCUGAUGAUCAAGUAAAACCUGACCAUCAGAUUCCUUCAUCUGGUCAAGCUUCCUCUUCAUGUUUGUAGCAUAGUCAUGUGCGAGCCGGUGCAACUGUUUAUUCUCAUGCUUGAGCCCUCUAAUCUCCUGUUUGAGACUCAUCACUUCAGCCGCCAAUGAUUCAACUUGGCGGGUUCGAGCAAAUAGGCGUUGGGCCAUAUUAGACACAGAACCUGCACACUGAACACUGAGAGCCAGAGAAUCCUUAACAGCCAACUCAUCAGACCGUUUGGAAAGUAGUCUGUUAUCUUUGGGAGUGAGAAGGUUCCUGGCCACUACCGCAGCGGUCAUAUCAUUCUUCAUCACGGAAUCCCCAACGGUAAGAGGACCAGUAGGGGAGACGAAGGAUGGGCGCCAUAUGUUGUCUGGAGAAGGCGGGGCUGCCUCUUCAACAAGGUUCAAGUCAAAACGACGGUCGGAGGGGCCAGACAUUUUCAAAGGUGUUGAAGAGAGAAGAGGUCGGACAAAUCAAGAUCUUAGAAGUGCAAGAAUUGAGCUUCUACUGGUGGAUAUUCAAGUGUGCUUUGGAACUUAAUGUCAGCCUCUAUAAAAAUCUGCACUCAACGAAGCUUCGGAAAUCGAAGAGGCGCCUGCUCAGAAAUCGAAGAGGCGUUUGCUUUCUCAAAAGCUGGGCUGUUCAGAGACCACGAGGGUCGAUCUCAGAAAUCGAAGAGGCGUUUGCUUUCUCAAAAGUUGGGCUGCUCAAAGACCACGAAGGCCGAUCUCAGAAAUCGAAGAGGCUUGCUUUCUCAAAAGCUGGGCUGCUCAGAGACCACGAGGGCCGAUCUCAGAAAUCAAAGAGGCACCUAUUUUUCCAGCCUUGUCAGCACCUGUCACACGCACACUCAGCUUUGCGGAAAUUAUGGGCAUUCUGUCGAAGAUUUCUGGCGAAGAGAAAGCACAUGAAUCGUACUGUUCAAUCACCCACUUCCCACACGCAACAGUAGCUCAUGGGUACCACAGAUAACUUUGCCAAAGUUCUCUGACAAAGUUGAGACACGUGAAGCUUGCAGCUCCCACUACAUCGCUCUGACCAAGAAGGGUAAAAGAAUUGCAAAGAAACAACACUAACAAAGUUUAGACACAUAAAUUUUGAAGGUCUAGCUACCAUAUUAUUACCCACAAGGGUAAAGGAACAGUACCACUGCUGGAUAAUUGGAAUGUCCCGGUGUGUCAACCUCUGUGCUUCGUGGCAAGGUAGACUAGCAAACAUGCCUAACCUUUACUCACAUUCGAGAAAACACUCCCAACAAGAUUGCUUGCCCCAAAAUCGAAGAGGCACCGCCCUCCGAAUCUCGAGAGCCAGACUCCCAACAUGAUUACUUUCUCAAAAAUCGAAGAGAGGGUAAAGGAACAGUACCACUGCUGGAUAAUUGGAAAGUCCCUGUGUGUCAACCUUUGUGCUUCGUGGCAAGGUAGACUAGCAAACAUGCCCAACCUUUACUCACAUUCGAGAAAACACUGCCAACAAGAUUGCUUGCUCCAAAAUCGAAGAGGCACCGCCUUCCGAAUCUCAAGAGCCAAACUCCCAACAUGAUUACUUUCUCAAAAAUCGAAGAGAGGGUAAAGGAACAGUACCACUACUGGAUAAUUGGAAAGUCCCUGUGUGUCAACCUCUGUGCUUCGUGGCAAGGUAGACUAGCAAACAUGCCCAACCUUUACUCACAUUCGAGAAAACACUCCCAACAAGAUUGCUUGCUCCAAAAUCGAAGAGGCACCGUCCUCCGAAUCUCGAGAGCCAGACUCCCAACAUGAUUACUUUCUAAAAAAUCGAAGAGACAACGCUCUCCGAAUCUUGAGAGCCAGACUCCCAACAUGAUUACUUUCUAAAAAAUCGAAGAGACAACGCUCUCCGAAUCUUGAGAGCCAGACCCCCAGCAGGAUUGCUUUCUCAAAAAUCGAAGAGGCAUCGUUCUCCGAAUCUCGAGAGCCAAAUCCCCGACAGGAUUGCUUGUUCGAAAACCGAAGAGGCACCACUUUCCCAACUUCAAGAGCUGGAUCUCUUUGGAUAAAGCUUGUCUGUAAUCUUCACACGCAACAUCAGCUUUCCAGAUACCACAGACCACUUUUUCAAAGUGCUCUGACAGAGUUAAAACGUGUGAAGCUGGCAGCUCCCACUACCGUGCUAUAACCAAGCAGGGUAAAGGAAUAGCAUUAUUACUUGAUGUUAGGGAGACUCCUAUAUAUGUCGACCUCCAUCCCUAACGGACAGGCAGACCUGCAAAAAUGCUCAACCCUUUCUCUUAUCUGAGAGGGCACUCCCAACGAAGCCUUUCGAAAUUUUCAGCUUUCUUUCCCCCCGAUAAUACCUCUGUAAACAAGCUAUACUAGAGCAAGAAUAUCUCAUAUCAUCAGGGUUAAAAGCAAGAGUAUCCCAUAUCAUGCUUUUUCCCUGUCUUUUCCUUUGGCCUUGUUCUUACCUGCAAGUAGACCUGGCAAACGGGUCGUGUCUGUCGUGUUCGUGUCGUUUUCGUGUAACACCUGUUAUCUUAACGGGUCGUGUCGUGUCACACCUGUUAUCUUAACGGGUCCUUAACAGGUCGGGUCACUUUACCCAACAGGUAAAGUGACCCGACCCGUUAUGACCCGUUAAGAAAAAUAUAUUUUUUUCUUAAAUUUGCACAUACCACACAUUACCACAUAAAUAUUACUUCAAAACAUUAAAACAUAUUUGUCAUUUAAGUACUACAUCUACACUCGAAAAUAAGAGCCUAAUAUUUUGUGGUAUCCACUUGUGUAAAUAUUUUAAAUUGACGAUCGAAUUCAUUCAUUGUAUUCGUAUAGAGUCAACAAGUGUAGUUGUAAAAAAUCAUCAAAAUCGGAGUUAAAAUAACCGUUAAAUCGUGGUUUUUUGUUUUAUAACCGUCGAAAAGCUUUGUCUCAUUACUUGAUCUCUGAAUGUUUGUUUUUUGUGAUUUUUGGCGUAUGCGAUCUCGAAGCAUAUACAAACAAGUUUGACGGUUGGAUCGUUGAAAUUAGUUUCAUAGAAUUCGUAUCCCAUCAAAACGAUAGAUUCACUAACACUUAGAGUUUAUUUAUACUUUCAUUAAGUAUAAAAUAAGAUUUUGUGGUAUCCACUUGUGAAAAUAUUUUAAAUUGGCGAUCGAAUUCAUUCAUUGUAUUCGUAUAGGGUCAACAAGUGUACUUGUAAAAAAUCAUCAAAAUCGAAGUUAAAAUAACCGUUAAAUCGUGAUUUUUUGUUUUAUAACCGUCGAAAGGUUUUGUCUCAUUACUUGAUCUCUGAAUGUUUGUUUUUUGUGAUUUUUGGCGUAUGCGAUCUCGAAGCAUAUACAAACAAGUUUGACGGUUGGAUCGUUGAAAUUAGUUUCAUAGAAUUCGUAUCCCAUCAAAAUGAUAGAUUCACUAACAAUUAGAGUUUAUUUAUACUUUCAUUAAAUAUAACAUAAGAUUUUGUGGUAUCCACUUGUGUAAAUAUUUUAGAUUGACGAUCGAAUUCAUUCAUUGUAUUCGUAUAGGGUCAAAAAGUGUACUUGUAAAAAAUAAUCAAAAUCGAAGUUAAAAUAACCGUUAAAUCGUGAUUUUUUGUUUUAUAACCGUCAAAAAGUUUUGUGUCAUUACUUGAUCUCUGAAUGUGCGUUUUUUGUGAUUUUUGGCGUAUGCGAUCUCGAAGCAUAUACAAACAAGUUUGACGGUUUGAUCGUUGAAAUUAGUUUCAUAGAAUUUGUAUCCAAUCAAAACGAUAGAUUCACUAACAAUUAGAGUUUAUUUAUACUUUUAUUAAGUAUAAAAUAAGAUUUUGUGGUAUCCACUUGUGUAAAUAUUUUAAAUUGACGAUCGAAUUCAUUCAUUGUAUUCGUAUAGGGUCAACAAGUGUACUUGUAAAAAAUUAUCAAAAUCGAAGUUAAAAUAACCGUUAAAUCGUGAUUUUUUGUUUUAUAACCGUCGAAAAGUUUUGUCUCAUUACUUGAUCUCUGAAUGUUUGUUUUUUGUGAUUUUUGGCGUAUGCGAUCUCGAAGCAUAUACAAACAAGAUUGAUGGUUGGAUCGUUGAAAUUAGUUUCAUAGAAUUCGUAUCCCAUCAAAAUGAUAGAUUCACUAACACUUAGAGUUUAUUUAUACUUUCAUUAAGUAUAACAUAAGAUUUUGUGGUAUCCACUUGUGUAAAUAUUUUAAAUUGACGAUCGAAUUCAUUCAUUGUAUUCGUAUGGGGUCAAAAAGUGUACUUGUAAAAAAUCAACAAAAUCGAAGUUAAAAUAACCGUUAAAUCGUGAUUUUUUGUUUUAUCACCGUCGAAAAGUUUUGUCUCAUUACUUGAUAUUUGAAUGUUUGUUUUGUGAUUUUUGGCAUAUGCGAUCUCGAAGCAUAUACAAACAAGUUUGACGGUUUGAUCGUUGAAAUUAGUUUCGUGUAUCCCAUCAAGUUCAAUGGUGUGUGUGUAUAUAUAUAUAUAUAUUUAUUAUGUAGAUUUAAAUCUAUUUAUUUUGUACGUAUAAUUAUUAUAGUUUUUUUUAGGGGUAUAAAAUUUAAUUUAAAAUUUAAUAUAUAUAUAUAUAUAUAUAAUUAUUAUAUUUAAUAUUUUGGGGGUAUAAUUAUUAUAGCAUAUAUAAUUAUUAUAGUUAAUUUAAUAUAUAUAUAUAUAUAAUUAUAGUUUUAAACUUUUUAGGGGUAUAAAAUUGUUAAAUUAUUAUAUAUAAUUAUUAUAGUAUUUUUUAGGGUUAUAAAAUUAGUAAAUUAAUAUUCUGCUUAUCGUGUAUCGUGUUACCUACGUGUAUACCCGAACCAACCCGUUAUCUUAACAGGUGCUUAUCGGGUUACCCGAAAAUACCUGAUUCGUUAUCGUGUCGACUCGAACACCUGUUAAUUUCGGGUCGUGUCGUGUCGGGUUAUCGGGUCGUGUCAGGAAUUGCCAGGCCUACCUGCAAGACAAGGAGAAAGAGAGCAAUCAGUCAGCACUUGGAAUCAAGCUUCCAGCCAGGAACUGACUGCCUGGAAACCCUUACCUGAUUACUUACCUGGCAUUGCUCUCGAGUACUCAUCUUCAACAUCUUAUGCUUCCAGGGAAGAUACCGCAUCUGCUUGAGGAACAGAUAGGGCAAGUGAGAAGGAUACAAGGAAGCAUGUGGAGACAAGCGUAACAGCACACGUACCGAUACAUCCACUACUCUGUCAAAAGCAAAAGUAUCCCAUAUCAGCAGGGUCGAACGUACUCUAGAUUUGAUGGACUUGUUUUUGACCCUCAAAUUCUUCAGUCGGCCUUAUACUCUGGAGGAAACCAGAAAACCCUCCAGCCCAGUUCAAGAAUAAGCCUGUGGAAAGUUACUUCUUCAAAAGCAAAAGUAUCCCAUAUCAUCUCUCCUCAUUUUUCUUCUCUUUAUCCUUCAUGCUGCCUGCAAGAUAGGGAGAAUGUGAACAAUCAGCCGGAGCUCUGAUUGCUUACCUUGUCUGUCACCUCUUUCAGCAGAUCCCCUAGCUCGGCGACUUGGGGGACUCCUACUACAUGGUUUGUAUCGCGCUUGACCAAGCAUGAAACUACAAGUAAGCUUCAAGUGAAAUUGAUACAUUACCUUGUGCAUCUCCACCAGUUACAGAUACCACCCCUGGAUGGAGGAAGAGUACUUCCAGAGAAGAUGCCACAUCUACCUAUGAGACAGAUAAGGCAAGUCAAGACGAUACCACACUCCGGUACUUAGAAGUUUCGUGGCUACGAGAUCAUUCUCCCACAAUAUUUCAUAAUGUCAUUUGUACUAAAUCAUUCACUUGUACUCACUAAAGGAGAGCUUGAACCUAUGUACUUGUGUAAACCCUUCACAAUUAAUGAGAACUCCUCUAUUCCGUGGACGUAGCCAAUCUGGGUGAACCACGUACAUCUUGUGUUUGCUUUCCUAUCUCUAUCCAUUUAAAUACUUAUCCACACUAAUGACCGGAGCAAUCUAGCGAAGAUUACAAAAAGUGACCGUUUUCGCUACCUAGGAUCUAUCUUGCAAGAGAACGGAGAAUUAGAUGGAGAUCUCAACCAUAGAAUACAAGCUGGAUGGAUGAAGUGUAAGAGUGCAUCCGGCGUGUUGUGUGACCGUCGUAGGCCACUGAAGCUCAAGGGAAAAUUUUAUAGGACGGCAAUAAGGCCAACAAUGUUGUAUGGCACAGAAUGUUGGGCGGUGAAGCAUCAACGUACACAAAAUGGGUGUAGCGGAGAUGAGGAUGCUUCGUGGGAUGUAUGGGCACACGAGAAAGGAUAAGAUUGGGAAUGAGGAUAUCCGAGGUAAAGUAGGAGUAGCCAAAUUGAAGGAAAUAUGAGAGAAAAUCGGUUCCGGUGGUUUGGACAUGUGCAAAGAAGGCCUACUGACGCUCCGGUUCGAAAAUGUGACUACGGGACAGAGGUUCAGGGCCGAAGGGGUAGAGGAAGACCUAGGAAAACUUUGGAAGAGACCCUAAGAAAAGACUUGAGUACUUGGAUCUAACGGAGGACAUGACACAAAACCGAGCGCAAUGGCGUUCUAGGAUUCAUAUAGCCGACCCCACUUAGUGGGAAAAGGCUUUGUUGUUGUUGUUGUUGUUGUUGUAUGUCAUUUUUUUUAAAUAAAAUUAAAAAGUUACUCUCACAUCCAAAGGACAUGCCAAGAAGCUAUUAUUUCAAUUUCCUGGAAAUUCAAACCUUAUUCAGAAAAUUAGUCAUCCGUAACCACAAAGCCUAAAGGAGGUUAAGGUAGCAUCCCCAAAAGGGUAUCAGGGUGGUAAUAAGUUUGAUCCAACUACAAUGGCUAUGUUGUCGAUCAAUCUGACUAUGCAUUCAACAUCUAUUUAGUAUGACAGUCAUUAGUCAGAUAAUUAAAUAGUCUGAAAACAUACUGGAUAAUGGAAAUCUUAGAAGUUUUAAGCAUCUUUUACCACAUCAAUUAGGCUUUCAUAUAUUCUUUUUGGAACUGAUUAUGCAUAAAACAUACAUAAUAAAAUAAUUCCAUUGCUUACCUCAGCUAAGUAAUCAUUCCCUGAUGGACUUUGCUCAUCAAAUAUUUGUGUCUCACUAGUACCUGACCAUAAUGAAUAAAAAAUUAAACAAGAUCCAAAAAUGAAAAUGAGCUUAGUAACUUUAAAGAGGCUCCUUAAAUUUGGAUUAUGAGUCUCGAGUAACGGAAAAUCAUAUGCCAGCUAUGGGGAGAUAAUGAGUGUUGCCUCAGCACAAUGACUAUAUAAUAGUUACUAAAUGGUCUUCUAACUCACUCCGACAUCAGAAUGUAUCACUUAAGAUAUUUAUCAAUUAACUAGCACGCUCCAAUUCCAUGGGGUAUUGAAAUGCUCAGUCAGAAUCUAAUGAUCCAGAAGAAUAAAUUCCGCAUAAAUGUCUACAAUGUUUUACAGAUGAAUACUAGCACAGCAAGAAAAAUAACUGAAACUUCAUGCAAACCAAGCAAUAGGAUGAUGCAGUGACUUAAUAGAUAAAAAGCAUGAGACUGAACAGACCGUAGUAACCGACAGCUGUUGCGCUAACCAAGACUGUAGGUCGAACUGCAUCUGGUAAAUCGUUUAUUAAAUCUAUGACCUUCACAACCAGUUGAAAGGUCAAAUCAGUUUUUGGUUAAAUAAUACUCUUUUUAUUAAGAAAAGGAGCAAAAAGUGAUUUGUAUUUUGACAGCCGCAUGAACUAAUCAGUGUAAGAAACACUACUAACCUUCGAUGUGACUCUAAUCCUGCUAGUCUUUAUCUCUUUCUUUAUCUACAGUCCAAUUAGAAGUUAGUAACUUCUAGGCAUACAUACAUAUGUUCACUUCUGAUAUUAAAACACCAUGAAUCACAUACUGUAUGGCCUUAGCCAGCAAUGUUCUGUCAAUUCAUGGCAGUUUUACUGCUAUAAAGUUUAAAUAUUCACCACUGGUACCAACCUCAGGAGACCAUCUUGUGCUUAUGGGCAGUCCACCCAAAUUUACGACACCAGUUGAACCUUGAAUGCUGUCUUUCCACUGUGGCUCCUCUGCAAUCAUGAUUCCUGGAAAAUCCUUGACUACAGAUGGCAGGGAAAAUUUCAAGUGUUAACCCAAUACAGAAGACUAACUAUCUCAAUAUUACCCCGGACAAUAAACCAGCAGUUAACAAUGAUUCAAGUACUGGGGUUAUUUCAAUCUGUAUACGAAUGUAACAACUUAUAUUCGGCAAUUUUUUUAUAUUUCAUAAUAAACAAAUAGAAUCAGUUUUUUUGUUAAGUUACCAUGUCCCCAAAAGCUUAACUAUUAGGAACCAAGCCCAACAACGUAUAUCAAGAAUAAUUUAACAUGAAACACUAACACUCCUCCUCACAUGACGUUCACACAACAACUGAACCAAAUGAGGCCUUACAGGAGCACAAUAGAAAUUAACAAAAAACUGGGGUAUCAAUACUAGAACCGAUGGCUUGAGGAACAACCUCUCUCCAAACCCUAACCCUAUCAAGCAUCAAACAACAACACACACUAAAAAUUUGUGUAAAGUAUACAUAAAAUAAUUCUUCCUUUGGUUUUUGAGUUUAUUCUUUGGGAUGAAGGAGGGGUUGUUGGACAGAUAUCCAACUGUUUAACCCAUUCUAAUUUUUUUCUUUCUAGAAGUUGAUUAUCACAAGAGGUCGCACUUGGUGCGAUGGCAAGUGCCUUCGCCCAUGAGUUGUAGGUCUCGGGUUCGAGACUUGGGAGCAGCCUCUCCAUAAAAUGGGGGUAAGGCUAGCCGACAUGCACCUCUCCCAGACCCUGCGUAAAGCGGGAGCCUUGUGCACUGGGUACGAUUAGUUAGAUUAGUUUAGAAGUUGAUUAUCCUUCCAAGUGUUGGAAAAGUAAACACUAGCUGCUUAUAUAUCAUUGCUUUUGAUGUAAUGAGGAAGUGACUGGUAGAAAGCACUGGUGGAAGAAUAGAGCAGCUCCACUUUCAAAUGAUUCACAUGAAUUUGAUUUUCUUGGUCCUCAGAAAAUCUAACUGAGUCUAAUUUAACUUGGAUUCAUAGAAUCAUGUGCACAAACUUACUAUUCCUAGAUUUCAAAAGAUUUGAGAAAAUAGCCAACAAGUGUACAUUACCUUCUUACCCGGAAAAAUUAACUCAGCCUUUGAUCUGGACCGUGUCAAGACAUGCACACUAUGAUUAUCUGCAUUACAAAUUGGAUCACCACAACCUUGAAAUCAUUUGUUUUGGUCGUAAAUGCACCUUGUUAUGCAUAAAUACUGAAAGAUAUGCAUGUCCCUUCUUGCUAGCUCCAGUAAAAAAUAAGGACCAAAUCAAUAGUCAUUGGGAAAUAAUCAAAUAACAUAAACAGGCAUUAAUCCGAGGUGGAUGCACGAAAAUAAAAUAUAAACACAACAGAAUGGAAACACUGCGCAUAAGUCUGCAAGAUUUCUAUAAUAAUGGAGAAGAGAAUGAGCAUAACCUGCAUGCAGCCUUUGCACCAAUCUUCUCCCGAUAAAACCCGUAGCUCCAGUUAUUGAUACAGUCAACUGAUUUGCCUAAGACAACCUACAAAGAGUCAAUCUCCAACAGGCAAAUGCAACCUAUAAAUGCUCAAAUACAUUCAUGUGACUUUCCAACUUUUUAACCACACACAUAAAUGCAAUCAUCCUAAUCAUCUGAUUUAUCACUCAUCAUCACCCACUAUGUUAUAUUAAAAGGGCUGAUGAUAAGUAACUUUGUGAAGCCAAAUCCCUACAAGUUCUGGACCAAACUGCAAUGCAAAGAGGUGGUAAACGUGAAGUUAGUUAGUUAGUUAUGUGGUCAGUCCAGUCUCCUUACACCCAAGUUCGAAUCCCCCUCCCGGAAAAUUAGAAUAGUUUAGAAUAUCGCUUGUGUCAGUGAUAGAGUAAUAAAUUCUAGUAAAUACUGAAUUGACCAAGUAAUUUGUAUAAAUAUGAACAGAAAUGUACGUGUGCGUGUGUGGAAGGAUUCGUAGUUUGAAGAGCAUUACCUUCUGGGGUUGGUCAGACGCACACCAAACACAGAGUCCCCGAGUCUCACGCUUCUAAGAAGCCAGAAAACAAAAAAGAUUAAAAACAAAACAAAGGAGAAAUUGGAGAAGUGGGUAGUGAGUUACUCACAGAGAGGGGCAGAGAGACGUGAAGAGAGGUGGAGACAGUGUGGGUCCAUGAGAGAGCAGUGGCUCCACAGACCUCCAUUGCUGCAGCUUGGGAGCUCUCUCUUUCUGCUAAAACAAGAAACAAGAUGUUUUAUUUCUGUUCUGUGAGAUGGCGGUGAAAGGAAAGACUCACAAAUGGCAAUGUGUUCGAUUUCGAACCACACCCAAUGACCCAAACCAAAGCAACCACCGAUUUCCAUCAAUUGUCUUUUCUCUUUUGUUUUUGGUAAAUUAUUAAAUUAGAUACGAUUUGUAUCUAAUUUAAUAAUAUAUUUCACUCUUGUAUUCUUAUCUUGGGCUAUUUUCAAUAUUUAGGCGUAACGUUUGAAGCUAUAAAGUCAUACUUGACUUUAAAUUUGACUUCAAAAGUUAUAUCAUCUUCAAUGCACAUUUUGACUUUUAACUCUUGUGCAUAAAAAAUAGCUAAACUUAAAGCUAAAUUUUUAUUUUAUUUUGAAUCGUAAACCACCGUACCAUGUACAUUUAUCCAUGAUAUAAAAAACCAUCAUCGACGUUCUCCUUGUUGAUUCCACGAUAGAAGCAUCUUGAGUGAUACAAAGCCAAGUCUUACAAACAACAAUAUCUUCUUCAUGAGAAAAUGAUGGACCUCUUGCUCUUUUGAUUUCCUAGCUCGACUACGUGUGUUUUCCAUAAUAUGACGAGGCUAAAUAGAUUAAAUGUAAUUCGAAUAAAAAUAAAGGUUUGCAUUUGUAGGAGAGUUUAGAACUAGUCGUCACUACUUUUCGUCAAGAUAUAGAUUAUGGGCGUUGAAUAUAUGUUAGGUGCAACUCUUUCAAAGAAAAAAUGACAGCAACUAUUUGAAAUUAAAGUCAUUAAGCAAGAAUUUUAUUGUAUACCAUUGAAUGAUGACAACAACUAUUUGUAGUUUGGUUCGAACAGUGAUCUCUUGUUUGACUGGACACUCGCUCACUUGGACACCUAUGUGCUUGGACACCCAUUCGUUCGAGCACUUACAAGACUGAACACCCACAAGCUCGGACACCCUUAAGCUCGGACCUUGACUCAUAGACCUAACUUGUGGACCCAACUCAAAGACCAUAUGUAUGGUCCCGACUUAAAGACCUAAUGUGUGGACCUGACUUGUGGACCGACAUAAAGAACUAAUAUGUGAACACGACAAGCAGAUCAUGCUUAUGUUGAGAAUCAACUCAUAAUGAGUGCACAAUGAAGCAAGUGCAUACUUGCAAUGAGGAAUGCCACCAGCUGAGUUGUCUCAGAACGAGCAUAGCCUCUAACCGCUCAAUUGCCUCGCCGCUAGCACUGUCUCUAGUCGAGCAGCCUCGCAACUUGUUUUACUUUUUGCCGAGUAUUGCUUCAUGAUGAGCACCGCCUCAUGUUGAAUUCGACCUGCACAUGGAUUGGAUUUGAAGUCUUUAGCCAAAAGACUCUAUUGACUAAAGACUUAGGGGACUCCUGUUGUACCAUAUAUGGGGUCUCAAUAUUUGGACCUCAAUGCAUAGCCCAUGAUGUAUGUAUGAGAGAAGGGAAACUCUUAGUCUACAAAAGGAAUCAUUCACCCUCACUUUAGGAAGAUGGCAAACCUAGCUUCUUUAACAACAAGCCUUCAUAUACAAUGUAACUCUCAUUUUAACUGGAUCGACACCAGUGUGGGCAUAGCCCCCACUUGUGGUGAACCACUCUAUGUUGUUGUGUUCUUGUGCGUAUGUGUGAUUUAUGAUCGAAUUUAGUUGGUCCAAGAUCGACCCCGAUUUUGUGCAUCAACAAAGUUGGUCAUCACUUUUUGAAAUGAUAAUUAUAUUUUGUGUAAUUCAAUGAGGAUCUUACUUUUAACCGAAUGAUUGUGUCAAAUUUAGAGUCAAAUAUGACUUUUGACUCUAAAUUAUUCAGCCUAUUAGAGAUAGCCUUAUAAGUUUACAGGUUGUUUAAAGAAUUUGACAUAGAUUUUUUUUAUACUAUUUCAAAUUUCAAAAAGAGAGAGAAAAAAGGGAGAUAAUUCUCUAAUGUAAUUUGCAUCUGUUGCAGUCAUAUUUAGAAUAUGAAUAUGAUUGUGUAAAUUCUAGUAGAUAUAGGAAUAUCUUUUAUAUUCCUAUUAGGAGUUGAUUACCUAUUAAGAGUUGUAAUCCUAGAAAGGUAAGGAUUUUACCUAUCCUACUACUAUAAAUAAAGGCACAAUGGGGCAAUACAACACACACCUCACAAUUAAAUCUCUCUCUUCUCUCUUGCUACCGCCGACCCUUCCCUCUCUAUUCCUUUAGAAUAGCUUAGUUAAAUAGGCCUACAACACGUUAUUAGCAUGUUCUUGCCAGAAGCUGAGGAACUAACUAAUCGUAGGAGGAAGCUAUCUUCCACAAAAUCCAAAGGCUCUUAUUUGUUUUCUGCUAAUCAGGUACACUUAAAAUAAAGAAAGAUAUUUGAAACGUCCACAAAGCAUGCAAACAUUCCCCAUGAUGCAUGAACCCCUCUAUGUUUAUAUUUUCCUUAUAAUAUAUAUUGUAUAUGUUUCAUAUAUUUGUCAAUCAUAUGUUUCAUGCAUUACACAAUUAAAUUGCUAUGUGGAAUUGUGAGUCAAGGAAUAUAAAAAAAUUAGAAGCAAUUUAGUGUUUUUAACCCUAGAACUCGAAAAAAAAAAAAGGAAAAAUUUGGGAAUUUUUUUUUACGGCACCACUAUGCUGGCUUGAAGCCUAGCCAUGUGAUGACAAACUCUUGGGAAGACGUCGUUUCGAUGUCCCUGGACCAUGUGUGCAACCCUCUAGGCUUGUUGCAUCUCUUAGACCCAACCAUGCUUUGGCCUGGAUUGUAUGCUAACACAGGCCUGCAACCCCGAUCCAAUCCAGCCCAAACUCACAUGCUAGAAGCAUGCUGGGCUUGUCCCCUGACAUAGGCUUGAAGCCCCGAUCCACUCAAGCUUAUUUCAGCACAGCCCGUAGCUUGCUGGGCUUGGCCAUGCCACAACCCGUGACACUAGAAGCCAGCCUAAAUGGCUAGGCUUGUCCCUGCGGCCUAAAACUGAAACCCAGUUGCGACUAGAGUUUCCUCGCUCACCCGCAAGCCUUUGGGCUUGCCCUGUGCACAUGGCAUGGCCCAAAAUGCCAGCAGAUUUGCUAUUGGGCUUCCCACCCGCUCUCCCGAGGCCCAAUACGCCUACAGCCAAACCUGCAGGGCCCUUGUCCCAUAUUAUUUUGCUUCCAUGAUCGACCUCGUUUGGUCCCGAUCUAUUGAAUUAAUUAAAACCGACCUGCAGUCCAUUAAUCUGAUUAUGAAUAUAAAAUUAUUGACCUGAAUAUCACUUUUGGACAUUAACGAUUCAAUAAUUUAUUUUUAUACUUUGAACUGUUGACAUACUUUCGUAGUCCCCAAGCUCUCACACUUGGGUUCCCGAAGAAACUCAAAUCCACUACACCAUAUUGCAUUCUAUGUUUCUUGCAGGAACCUUUUCUUUAUGAACUAAUCAUUCAUAAAAACUAAAUUGAACCUGUAGUUUCAUAUUUAGUGCCUUUGAAACCUGAAGUUUUCAUUCAAAACUUACCACAUGAAACCUGUAGUUUUCAUGUAUAAAUUAAACCAAUACAUGUCUAUAGACCCUGAAUGUUCUACGAUAUAUGUCUAUGGAUCACCAUAUGAUUAAUCAUGUUUUUUGUACCCUUCGUUUUAGGGACAUGUCGAACUUGAACAAGCUCGAUUUCACCGCUCUAAAAGUAUCUGGAAGAAAUUACCUGAAGUGGUUUCAAGACUUGAAGCUCCAUCUUACUGCUAUAGUCGUUCGGACUUUAGAUGCUAAACAAGAUCCCUUCCGUCCAAAUGAGGAUGAGGAAGAGAUCUUGGAACCCGAAGUUCCUUACCUAAGUGCAAUUGGGGCUUUAUUGUAUUUGUCUCAAUGCAUUAAACCCGACAUUUUCUUCGUUGUUAAUCUUUUGGCUAGAUAUAGCAAUGCGCCUACAUGCAAGCACUGUAAUGGUGUUAAAGACAUUUUCUACUACCUCAAGGGCAUUAAGGAUUUAGGCUUGUUCUAUACCCGUGAAUCUUCAAGCAUUACCGCCCCCCUCAGUUCUUAGAUUGAUUCUCACCUUGUUGGUUACGCAGAUGUUGGAUAUAUGUCUGACCCACAUAGGGCAUAUUCUCAAACAGGCUAUGUCUUUACCGUUGGAGACAUCGCUAUAUCAUAAGGGUUUACCAAGCAAACGCUAGUUGCAACUUCUUCGAACAAUGCUGAGAUUUUCGCCUUGCAUGAAGCAUUGCGUGAGUGCUUUUGGUUGAGAGUAGUUAUGAAACAUAUUCGAAACACUAGUGAUCUUACUUCCAUCGUUGGCCUUUCUACGACGAUCUUUGAAAACAAUACAGCAUGUAUCGAGCAGUUAAAGAAUGGAUACAUCAAGGGAGACAACACCAAGCACAUAAUGCCGAAAUUCUUUUAUUCUCACCAGCAACAACAGCAUCAACGCAUUGAAGUCAAGCAAAUCCGUUCCCAGGACAACCUAGCCGAUCUCUUUACCAAGUCAUUGCCCAAGUUUACUUUUCAGAAGCUCGUCCAAGGAAUCGGUAUGCGUAAAUUAUCUGAGUUGAAUCGCUUGUAUUUCUCUUAUUUUGAAGUUAUGUCUAACUCAGGGGAAGUAUCCAGAAACAUACUCACUUAAUCUUAAUGUACUCUUUUUCCUAUGAUUAUGAGCAUUUUUCUCAUUGGAUUUUUGCUACCUAACAAGGUUUUGAUGAGGCACCCAUCUUGGGAUGAUCAUACUCCAUUGAGUUCACUAUUUUCGUCUUGUUUGAUGUUUGAUGUUUGUUUUAGACAUUAUGCAUACUUCUCACUUUUCUUCUUGGUCUAUGGGUUUUUCUCCCAUCUUGGGUUUUACCAUAGCGAGGUUUUGUGAGUUUUACUACCAAUGCAUACUUUCUUUAAAUUUGAGACUUUGUUCACCAGUUGUGUCGACGACUUCAUCAACUAUUCUACCUUAUUAGCUGAAGAUAUGAUGCGAUGGUUUGUUGAGUAUUUAUACACUUAAGGGGAGUGUUGGAGUCAUAUUUAGAAUAAGAAUGUGAUUGUGUAAAUUCUAGUAGAUCUAGGAAUAUCUCUUAUAUUCCUAUUAGGAGUUGAUUACCUAUUAAGAGUUGUAAUCCUAAAAGGGUAAAGAUUUUACCUAUCCUACUACUAUAAAUAAAGACACAAUAGGGUGAUACAACAUACACCUCACAAUUAAAUCUCUCUCUUCUCUCUUACUACCGCCGGCCCCCUCCCUCUUUAUUUCCUUAGAGUAUCUCAGUUAAAUAGGCCAACAACAGGAUCACCCAUUUUUCUAGUAAUAUUCUCUCUUCUUUUUUAUUUUUUUAAACAGUAAUUAGUAAUAUUAUUAGAACAUAAUGGAUUUGGGCUUUAUAGCCAAUCCGGGCACAAUACAACUCAGCAACGGAAGCCUACCCAAAAACUAAAAUAUUUGAUAACAGCAGCUGUGAAUAGUCAGAAUAGUGGUGGAUGAAGUGGAAGAAAUGGCGAUGAUGAUGCAGUGGUGCGGCGCAGCGGCGAGGCGGGUGCUGAUGGCGGAGCAGCGCGCCCUCUUCACAACCUCCUCCUCUUCCUCCCUGGCAGCAGCAGCAAUUGCAAAAGCAAAUGUGCUUGGGGCGCCGAUGCUGUGCGGGCGAGGAGACAAGAAGACGAAGAAAGGGAAGCGAUUCAAAGGGUCGUUCGGAAACGCUCGGCCGAAGAAGGAGAAGAGGAUCGAGCGCAUUAAGGACAAGGUUGAGGUCCCCAGGUCCACCCCUUGGCCUCUCCCUUUCAAGCUCAUCUGAAAUUUUCAAUUUUUCACUCUCUUUUUUCUUAGGGUUUUAGCUCCAUAUAUGUAAUGUCGAACUCCCUAAUUUUAAGUGUUUAUGUCAUGCCUUGUUAUCAAAUGGAGGCAUUUUUAUUUUAUGUCAAUGCAUAUUUCUGGUAUAUAUGUUUCUAUUGUUAAUUUGUUUGUUUGAUGGGUGUUAUAAUUUUGUUGUCUAAAACCACAAACGCAUGAUAAUAUUUGAAAUUUUGAUUGAGAGAGCUACUUACAAUGGGCAGACAUGAGCGUGGGCAGACAUGAGCGAUUGUGCUCCCCCGCUUCGAAUCCCCCUCCCCGUAGUUUAGAUUGGAUUAGGAUGUUGCUGGAGCUACUUAGAAUGGAAAUGUAGGGACUUAUACUGUUUAACUGUGCUAUUCAUUCUUAUUGGGGUUAAGAAUGAAAAUGGUGAUUGCUGAAUUAGUAGGGAUUUGAUCUGCAUACGGUGAAGUACUUCCUUUUCUCAGGAGCCUUUAGCAGGGGAUUAGGGUUUAGGGGUUCUAACUUCGGGUUCUGUGGUGGACUUGUAAAUUCUAUUCUCAUAGUGUGUAUUUUCAGUAUAUAAUCUUAUAAGACCAUGUUUCACUUACUUGCUUGAGUAACUUCGAAGAUAUCUAGAAAUAGAUUGAAGCAAUUUUGUUGGAGUGGAACUGACAAAAAGAGAUGAGUGCAAUACUAGGCGGAAAUAUUGAACUAGGUAGAUACAUUAGAGUUUGGACUGGUGGGUGCAAUGUGAGUGUAGCAUAUAAGGAUGGUUUGUGCUUUUGAUAAGAUGGACACCAACUAUUUACUUCAAAAUGCUUUAUGCAUAGGAUUAGGUGUCAUGAGUUAUGAUAUUCAGUUUGUUGUGUGCGGGGUGAAAACGCAUUGUGGUUCAAUUUGUGACACUAGCUGCAUGCCGAUGGUAUUAUUCCAAACAUUGGUAUGAUUGUAUACGGAUAAUAGUGGUUAUGGUAGAGCUUAGUUGCCAUGGUACAUAUUCAAGAUGAUAUUCCUUGGUGUAUGCUUUUCGCAGACGAUAUAGUGUUGAUAGAUGAAACUCAGGAAGGGGUAAAUGCAAAGCUUAACCUUUGGAGAGAAGUGUUGGAAUCUAAAGGUCUUCGCCUAAGCCGAUCAAAGACAGAAUAUAUGGAGUGCAAGUUCAGUGCAAAUGGAGGCCAAAACGAGUUAGGGGUGAGGAUCGGAGAUCAAGAAAUACCAAAGAGCGACCGUUUUCGUUACCUAGGAUCUAUCUUGCAAAAGAACGGAGAAUUAGAUGGAGAUCUCAACCAUAGAAUACAAGCUGGAUGGAUGAAGUGGAAAAGUGCAUCCGGCGUGUUGUGUGACCGCCGUAUGCCACUGAAGCUCAAGGGAAAAUUUUAUAGGACAACAAUAAGGCCGGCGAUGCUGUAUGGCACAGAAUGUUGGGCGGUGAAACAUCAACACAUACACAAAAUGGGUGUAGCGGAGAUGAGGAUGCUUCGUUGGAUGUGUGGGCACACGAGAAAGGAUAAGAUUAGGAAUGAGGAUAUCCGGGGUAAAGUAGGAGUAGCCGAAAUUGAAGGAAAGAUGAGAGAAAAUCGGUUACAGUGGUUUGGACAUGUGCAAAGAAGGCCUACUGACGCUCCGAUUAGAAGAUGCGACUAUGGUACAGAGGUUCAGGGCCGAAGGGGUAGAGGAAGACCUAGGAAAACUUUGGAAGAGACUCUAAGAAAAGACUUAGAGUACUUGGAUCUAACGAAGGACAUGACACAGGAUCGAGCACAAUGGCGUUCUAAGAUUCAUAUAGCCGAUCCCACUCAGUGACUUGGAUUCUCCAAGUCUCCAACCGAGAAGUUUUCCUCACUCGGGAAAUUAAGGGAACACUACCCCAACCUACAUGCUCCACUCAGAAAGCUUCAACAUACAAGCUUCAACAAAAAGAAAAUUCAAAGAACUUAGCGAAGAAGGCUUUGGUGUAUUUAACACAAUACGUUGAAAUGAAGGAAAGCUUAUUUAUUGAUAUCCCCGAUAAGCUACAAAUAUGUACAUAUACAUGAGUCAAAAUAAACAAACAAGAGGGAGCCUUCACAAAGGUUGCUUAGGAGAAGUCUCAGCAGUCGGUAGAGCCCCAGAAAGAGAAGGCAUCAGAGGGGGAUCAUUUGGAGCCUCAGUACUGGACAGAACCCUAGAAGGAGGAGGCAUCAGAGG
rnacentral:lncRNA from 1 species